rnacentral:rRNA from 1 species
GGCCCGCACAAGCGGUGGAGCAUGUGGUUUAAUUCGAUGCAACGCGAAGAACCUUACCUGGUCUUGACAUCCACGGAAGUUUUCAGAGAUGAGAAUGUGCCUUCGGGAACCGUGAGACAGGUGCUGCAUGGCUGUCGUCAGCUCGUGUUGUGAAAUGUUGGGUUAAGUCCCGCAACGAGCGCAACCCUUAUCCUUUGUUGCCAGCGGUCCGGCCGGGAACUCAAAGGAGACUGCCAGUGAUAAACUGGAGGAAGGUGGGGAUGACGUCAAGUCAUCAUGGCCCUUACGACCAGGGCUACACACGUGCUACAAUGGCGCAUACAAAGAGAAGCGACCUCGCGAGAGCAAGCGGACCUCAUAAAGUGCGUCGUAGUCCGGAUUGGAGUCUGCAACUCGACUCCAUGAAGUCGGAAUCGCUAGUAAUCGUGGAUCAGAAUGCCACGGUGAAUACGUUCCCGGGCCUUGUACACACCGCCCGUCACACCAUGGGAGUGGGUUGCAAAAGAAGUAGGUAGCUUAACCUUCGGGAGGGCGCUUACCACUUUGUGAUUCAUGA